UGGAGUUUUCCUGCACAAGCUCUCUUUGCUUGCUGCCAUCCAUGUAAGAUGUGACUUGCUCCUCCUUGCCUUCCACCAUGAUUGUGAGGCUACCCCAGCCACAUGGAACUGUUGACAUGGAUUUUAUUCAACAGACAAGCUGACAUUUAUCAAGAUGCUUUCAAUUACACCAAAAGAAAUAGAAGUCUUCGUCUUAUUGCUGUUUAUGUGGCAGUAUUGUUCUCCUACAAUAAGUUGAUGGAAAUGAGUUGUUUUGUUUUUCAUUUUAGCCAUUUUACAAGUAAGUUUGCUAUUGUUGUUGCUGUUUUUAGAAUAAAAUGAUUUUACCAAUAACAUUGAGUGGCUAUACCUUUCCUUAAUAAUGGGAAAUUUUAUAAAUUUGGCUGCUUAAUGACAUGAUUUAGAAGUUUGCACUCUGCUCACUUUUGAUUUGACCUUGCAAUUACCAAGUUAAAUAAAAAUGACUUUUAUAAGGACAUGAAUCCAAUUGAAACUUCGCAAGAUUGGAAUCUUUUAAUUUUUGAAAGUUGUGUU
rnacentral:lncRNA from 10 species